CGCGGCCUAUCAGCUUGUUGGUGAGGUAACGGCUCACCAAGGCUCCGACGGGUAGCUGGUCUGAGAGGACGAUCAGCCACACUGGGACUGAGACACGGCCCAGACUCCUACGGGAGGCAGCAGCAGGGAAUUUUGCACAAUGGGCGCAAGCCUGAUGCAGCGACGCCGCGUGCGGGAUGAAGGCCUUCGGGUUGUAAACCGCUUUCAGGAGGGACGAAGCGAGAGUGACGGUACCUCCAGAAGAAGCCCCGGCCAACUACGUGCCAGCAGCCGCGGUAAUACGUAGGGGGCGAACGUUGUCCGGAUUUAUUGGGCGUAAAGAGCUCGUAGGCGGCUCAGCAAGUCGGCCGUGAAAACCCGGGGCUCAACCCCGGGACGCCGGUCGAAACUGCUGUGGCUAGGGUCCGGUAGAGGAGAGUGGAAUUCCCGGUGUAGCGGUGAAAUGCGCAGAUAUCGGGAGGAACACCAGUAGCGAAGGCGGCUCUCUGGGCCGGUACCGACGCUGAGGAGCGAAAGCUAGGGGAGCAAACAGGAUUAGAUACCCUGGUAGUCCUAGCCGUAAACGUUGGGCACUAGGUGUGGCGGACUCAUUGACGUCUGCCGUGCCGCAGCUAACGCAUUAAGUGCCCCGCCUGGGGAGUACGG
rnacentral:rRNA from 1 species